UCCAAACCUAUAGCAGCAUUUACAGUCGAUGGAGUACCAAUUGAGAAAGAACAUGCCAACAGCAACAGGAAAGAUUUCGUCAUAGCGAUUAAAUAAACCCAUAACCAAUGCAAAGAUAUCAAAGCAAAGUGCCAGAGCAUUUUUGGGCGGACAAUAAAGUGAGUGCGUAAAGGAAACCAGACUGCACGUACAGCUAAUCAUGGACCAGAAUGCCGUGAGAAUGUAAAAGGUUUGCCAGAGCCUUCAUGAAAAGAUCAAGGAUUGAUUCCAAGCACUAAAGAGAAAAGAUGACAAUCGGAGGCAAAUGCAAAUGGUGUUGUCAGAAAUUGCAAGAAAGGGUGACACUAAAUGCAGCUAAUUACCUGCAUCCUUGGCAGCAACAGCUUCUUGAUAGACAUCCGUAAGAAAUAAUACAUCCGAAGGCUUAUUAACUCCCAAUGACUCUGAGAUCUCAAUGUAACUUUGUGUUU